AAGGUUCUUUUACAUGAUCGCGUGCCUGUUUUAUUACAAGCAUGAGGAAAGUCCGAGCACUAUCGGAAAAAUAUAACGGGUAACACCCGUCGUCUGCGUUCCAAUCAAACAAAACCGCAGAUAGAGAAAGUACCACAGAGACAAUACUAGCCGCGCACAGGGUUUCGGCCCGACUGCUCGGUGAAAGGUGAAAAGUCCGCUUAAGCGGAGAUCUUCGGGCAACCGAAGGGUACGGCAAACCUUAUGUAGUGCAAGGUGGGCUGGAAAGAUUCGAGCGAUAGCAAAGCUUUAUCGCAUUUUAAGUUCGUUUCCGAAACUCGCAUCUUCCCACCGCAAGACGUUGCGCAGUAAUGUGCAAACAAGAUAGAUGAUCAUGACGCCUUUUUAUAAUCGGCGCACAAAACUCGGCUUAUUAAAGAACCUUCGCA
rnacentral:RNase_P_RNA from 2 species